UGGGGAAUAUUGGACAAUGGGCGCAAGCCUGAUCCAACCAUGCCGCGUGAGUGAUGAAGGCCCUAGGGUUGUAAAGCUCUUUCACCGGUGAAGAUAAUGACGGUAACCGGAGAAGAAGCCCCGGCUAACUUCGUGCCAGCAGCCGCGGUAAUACGAAGGGGGCUAGCGUCGUUCGGAUUUACUGGGCGUAAAGCGCACGUAGGCGGACUUUUAAGUCAGGGGUGAAAUCCCGGGGCUCAACCCCGGAACUGCCUUUGAUACUGGAAGUCUUGAGUAUGGUAGAGGUGAGUGGAAUUCCGAGUGUAGAAGUGAAAUUCGUAGAUAUUCGGAGGAACACCAGUGGCGAAGGCGGCUCACUGGACCAUUACUGACGCUGAGGUGCGAAAGCGUGGGGAGCAAACAGG
rnacentral:rRNA from 1 species